rnacentral:rRNA from 1 species
GAUGAACGCUGGCGGCGUGCCUAAUACAUGCAAGUCGAGCGAAUGGAUUAAGAGCUUGCUCUUAUGAAGUUAGCGGCGGACGGGUGAGUAACACGUGGGUAACCUGCCCAUAAGACUGGGAUAACUCCGGGAAACCGGGGCUAAUACCGGAUAACAUUUUGAACCGCAUGGUUCGAAAUUGAAAGGCGGCUUCGGCUGUCACUUAUGGAUGGACCCGCGUCGCAUUAGCUAGUUGGUGAGGUAACGGCUCACCAAGGCAACGAUGAGUAGCCGACCGGGGGGGUGGCUCGGACACACUGGGACUGAGACACGGCCCAGAUUCCUACGGGAGGCAGCAGUAGGGAAUCUUCCGCAAUGGACGAAAGUCUGACGGAGCAACGCCGCGUGAGUGAUGAAGGCUUUCGGGUCGUAAAACUCUGUUGUUAGGGAAGAACAAGUGCUAGUUGAAUAAGCUGGCACCUUGACGGUACCUAACCAGAAAGCCACGGCUAACUACGUGCCAGCCGCCGCGGUAA